AACGAACGCUGGCGGCAGGCCUAACACAUGCAAGUCGAACGCCCUAGCAAUAGGGAGUGGCAGACGGGUGAGUAACACGUGGGAACCUUCCCUAUAGUAUGGAAUAGCCCAGGGAAACUUGGAGUAAUACCGUAUACGCCCGAGAGGGGAAAGAUUUAUCGCUAUAGGAUGGGCCCGCGUAGGAUUGGCUAGUUGGUGAGGUAAUGGCUCACCAAGGCGACGAUCCUUAGCUGGUCUGAGAGGACGACCAGCCACACUGGGACUGAGACACGGCCCAGACUCCUACGGGAGGCAGCAGUGGGGAAUAUUGGACAAUGGGCGCAAGCCUGAUCCAGCCAUGCCGCGUGAGUGAUGAAGGCCUUAGGGUUGUAAAGCUCUUUUGCCGGGGACGAUAAUGACGGUACCCGGAGAAUAAGUCCCGGCUAACUUCGUGCCAGCAGCCGCGGUAAAGUCACGUCG
rnacentral:rRNA from 1 species